CUCCUUAACUAAAAAUCCCCAAUUUGUUGAACCAAAAUCCCCUUCAACCAAAAUCCGUAAUCUCUUCUUACGGCUCUGUCUCUGUCUCAGAGAGAGAGAGAGAGAGAUAGAGAGACGGCGAGCAACGGCAGACAACGGCGAGCAACAAACGACAACAUCGAGCAGCAUGCGACGACAGCAAGCAACAAACGACGGCGGGGAGUGACCAACGACGGUGCGAGCAGCAAACAAUGGCGGCGAGUGAGUGACCGACUGACGCCGGCACCCAAGAGACACUUCCAAUGUGACAGCUUUUCUGCUGAUCUCAACUACAAAAGCUUGUAUAUUGACUCACAAAAGAAGGUUAUAUUUCUUUAGUGCCUUGUUGUGCCUUUUUGUUCUUCACAAAUCUGUAAUCUUAUUUCCUUGUUUCUAAGUUAUUGCAAAUUGUAGCCUUAAAAAAUGAAAAUUCUGAGCUCUCUAAGAAGCUAGAUGUUGCUCUUGGGAAAAUCGAAGUGGUACUGUUUUAUUUACCCCCAUUACUCAACUAUUUUGUUUUCUAGUGCAGGAUAAGCAACAUAAGAUUAACCAAAAACAUGUUGUCUGUGUAACAAUGAAUAUAUGUUUUGAAGAAUUGAUAACUAUAAGUUUACAAACUUCCCCAAGAAUGAUAUUCUUUCAAUUGUGGAAGAUGCAAUGGAAUGCUUAUUUAUCUUUAUCAAAUUGUUAGCAUUUUAUGAAUGGGCUAAAACUCUGAUAGACUGGAUUUCUGGACAGAUUUGUUUGUAUAGUCAUGACAUAUCUUAAUUGAAUCAUUCAUUUAUUGAUCCAUUUUCGCACACUGUUUUAUGAUAUAUUUUAGUACUUAAUUUAUAGCCUCGAAUGGUCAUCGGAAUUAGUUUCAGGCAAAAAUUUCCAUAUAAAAAAGGGUUCAAAAUAUUUUUAUGAAUUGUUCUGUGACAUGUAGGGACAGACGGUACGUAAAUAAGACACCUACGUUGGGAGUUAGAGUUGAAAAUGUCAUAAAUUUAGUCGAAAAAAGGGGUUCGGGGGGCGAAAAUGCAAAACACCCCCUGAACCACUAUUUUUACGUAACAGGAAGCUUUCUGGUGCCAAAUGUGACAUGUAGGGAUAGACGGUACGUAAAUAGGACACCUAUGUUGGGAGUUAGAGUUGAAAAUGCCAUAAAAAUAGUUGAAAAAAGCACUUGGGGGGCGACAAUGUAUUUAUGUGGUAGAACAGGAAAUGCCCAUGUCGUGGGUAACUAUUUUCGUUAUACCAUCUUAAAUUAUAAUUUGUUUAACUCUUUCUUUAUUAGUUUAUGUAGAACAAUAUUUUUGAUAAAUUGUUUCGUGCUUUUGUUGGCUGUGGCCCUUUUAAUUGCCAUAAACAUAACUUUUGUUAUUAAUUCAUAGAAUCAAUGCUCGUCUACCAGUCCAUGUUUGGGUGUCUUUCAUUAUUUAAUAGCUAUUAAUGUCCUUGUAUUUUAAUGUUUGAAAUUAAUACAGUUGCUAUAUGUCGUCCAAAAGUGCCUCUAUAGGCACCAAACUAACGAUUUUAUUUAUUUAUUUAUUUAUUUAUUUUUUGGUUUUGGACAUACAAAUGUGGAUAUGAAUUUUUUUGACAAGUACGAGAGGGCAUUGUUUUUAUACCUCUAUUUGUAUAUAUAGUGGUUCAUACAAAUUACUUUUUUGGUGUGGCAAAUAUCAGCUAAUUUGGCAUGGUAAAAAUUAGCAUAGCACGUCGUACAAAAUAGUUUUGGGGUAGUACAGAUUAAAUUUUUGUUGUGGCACAUAUGUCCUUUUUGUUAAUUAAUGUGGUUAUUCCUGUAUUAUGUAUGGAAUUAAAUUAUUGACGUUGGAUUAGACUUGGUUCGUAUGGAAUUUGUAUUAUAUAUAGAAUUGGACGUUCAAUAUUAAUUUUUUGGAUGGUUGGAAAUGAAA